GUCUGCUCAUCUGUUUUGUCAACUAGUGCCGGGUGAUUCCUUUUUUUGGGUUUGCUAAUGAUGUCACCCAACAGGUUGUGAUUGGAUCUAAUUUUUUUUGUUUGUGUGUGUGUGUGUUGUUAUUAUUAUUAUUAUUUUAUGGAAGAUUGGAUCUAGCCAUUCAGAUGUUUCUCAAUCAACUAAAAUAAAUUAAGGAGCAUCAAAUUAGUGAAUUUAAGUGGUGCAAAUGUUUCUCAAUCAACUAAAAUUAAGGAGCAUCAAAUUAAUGAAUUUAAGUGGUGCAAGCUGCAUGAUCAAGGAUAUCACGUGUGUUGGAGGCUGUAUUUGAUUGAAACUUGUUAGGGCGUUGGCGUUGCAACGACGAACCAACUGCUGGAAAAGUUCCUAGGUGCUUGUUAUGAACUGCUGCACAGCAGGAAGACGUUCUUGCAUUCUGCUUGAAUGAAGCUGAAUGGUUAUAAAUGUGCUAGUCUUGUUCUUUCUGUCUGCUGGGGCAGCCAAGCGUGUAUGCUAAUCCGCCGCAUGUUCGGAUGGGUAUAGGGUCCGUGCGCUAUCUUAUCCAAAUGCGUUAGGACGGAGAAAUGGACUUGAUCUGACUUGAAGUUUGUUUGAUGGAGUUGGAUGGAAGAGUAACGUUGACUUUUAUAAUUGAAGAUUUUUUUUCCAAUAGAGUUCUAUGGUAACUUGCAAGAAUCAUUCGAGUUCUGUUUUGCACCGUCAAGUCCAUCUCCUGCAUGGCAUGACUCACGAUGCCAGUUCAAAAAGAGCAGUGAGAAUACAGCAGACCAGCCGGGUGGCUUCAAGUUAGGUAUCUGGCUUGGUAGCAUUUUUGGGCUCCAGCCGAAGUCCGAGCCUAGACCUCCGUCGGCAAUGAGGUGCUUUACAGCAACAACACCGCCCUCGUCUGCUACCUUGUCCCCGACAUGGAGAACCCCUGCAACAACACCGUCCUUCCUCCCUCACCUAGUGAUUUGCAGCUUUCUACCGAACACAAGCACCUGAUUUCGAUUGAGGAUUCACAAGAGAUCGCCUUUUUUCUUGGCAUUUGCAUUGGCAUCUUUCUAUAUUAACAGAUUAUAUGUUCCAAAGUGCGCAUCAGAAAACUAUGCAAGCACUAGAUUUACCAUGAGGGUUUCCCACCAACCACAUCCCAUUAGCCCAUGUGUGAUAUCUUGCAAAUGGAAGGAACGGCCUCAAGUUAGUAACAUAGAUACAGAUUAGAAGGUCAUACAUUGAAAUUUCAAGUGCAUAAUCCACUAAUUUAGUACACAAUGGCCACCAUGAUACAACUGAUUUGCGAUUGAAAUAAUCCAGCAGUAUUGCUCCCGCACGCUUCAUUUGGUAGGCUAGUGCACUCUUUUACUCAGUAUAUGUGCCCAACUUUAGUUCAAUUUUUUUUAAGAGGUGUUUGGUUGGAGUGAGUGGGUUCUCGAAUCAAAAUAGGUAACUCCCAUUCCAACUGUUUGGUUGAGAAGAAUAUCAUUUCAAUUUCGGAAUGAAAUAAAAAUCAUCUAAUUUAUAUAGAUCUCAAUUCUUAUUUUUUUUUAUGAAUUCAAAUUUUUAUUUCAGUUUCGAUUCUGAUCAUGAAUCAAGUACUUUAGAGAGAUUUGAUCAUUUUGAUUUCGAUUUCAAGUCAUUUCAAUUUUUAUUUUGAUUCCAAUUGUAAACCAAACAAUCUCUUAAAUGAUUCAUCAGCUUGCGUUCGCUCUAGUCACUGAUUGUGACACCACAAACUGUAGGUCUCACUAGCAUCCUGCAUACAUGGCACCAAUUCUUGCUAUCUCUAGUUGUAUUCUGCCGGAGGCAGAACAAUGCUCGCCGGCAAGCAGCGCUUCCCGGAAGUCCCAACUAGAGACUUCACUUGUUUUACAGGCGCUCACCCUUUUUUUCUUUUUAUUCUGUUGGGUUGACUGAGACGCCUUGUAACUAUUGUGGUACGUGACAACAAUGAAUGGCACUUCCGCAUGAUUAAAAUUCUUUGAGACAAGGAGGAGCUCCGGACCUAGAUUCGUCUUAAUUCAAGAAAAGGACCUACGUAAGUUCCACCACAUGCAAAACAGGGAGACCAGGCAGUGCAGUAAGUAUGACACGUCGACUGUCAGCGUCCAGCUUUUUGCAACCACUCUAAGGAUGGAACCGUGUCAUAAAUUUUAACGCACAAUUGUAAUCCCGCACAAACAAAUCCUUUACAUUACAAAAUAAUAAUCAUAAUAACAACGCACAAACCAUUCCUUUACAACAUCUUCCUAAACACCGAUUGCUCAGCUAGCAAGUGGUGCAACUUGCAACUAUAAUUUUCAGCCUUUCAGUACAGGACUAACAUUUAUGUCAAACGUAAGACUACCACCAUCGACCAAAAAAAACAAAAAGGAUGACAGCCAACAAGGAAACAAGGGCAUCUCAAUAUAGCACCAAAAAGUUUCCACAGACUAAAAACAGAGAGGAAUGAUACAUGAAAUCAAGAUUGACUACCAUUUCAUCAUGGCCAUGGUGCUGCAUAGAUGACUUUAAAUGUAUCCAAAAAAUUUGUUAAUAAACUCCUUGGAAAGAUAAUCUGUCCCGCAAAGUGUCGAAGAUGGAGGACGCAGCAGCAUUUUGUGCUAGAGUUAGUUUUAGCCGGCCAAACAGUUCACUGUCUUUAGCCUGUGAUGCAGCAUCUGCAGCUUCCUUAGCCAUGCCAAUUCGUGCAUAUGCCUAGGUUUAAAAAAAAAAAAGGAAUAAGACAAGAUAAAUAAAAACCAAAUGAAGAGGAACUUGGAAUGAUGGCCAAGCAUGUCCAUGUUUGAACUUGCCAUGACACCGGAUGUUGGAAUGUCUGAAUUAAGACCGCUAUGUGUAAGGCAAGUUCCGGAGACAUGGCAAUAAAAUGCUGAAACUUCCUUCUAAAAGUCAACACCAGUACUUAGAGAGCUUUCUCAAGGUCUCCUAUUGAUAUAUAAAACUAAUGAUAUAUAAAGUUAAUCAAAAACAUAUAUAUUAUACCUCUGAUCUUUCCCGGGGUUCUGCAAGUUUCGGAAUGUAUUUGAGAGCUUCUGCUUUCUCAUUGGCAUCAAUACAGGCUUCCACAAAGGGUUUAUAACCUAUUAAUAAGAUAAAGGAACUGCAGAAUUACUAAAUGAAUAAUAUAAUUAUAUAGAAGAUAUGCAAGUGAAAAAUAGUGGUAACAGAAGAAGUGAUUUUAUUUAUAUAUCUGCAACUUAAAAUAACCUUUAGCUCAUUUAAAAAAAAUACUUUAUUUGCAAUUUUAUUUGUACUACUACACUGAUGUGUAAAUUCAUGAAAAAUGUGUGGCAGACUAAAGAACUUGGAAAUUUUACCACCCGGUGGCCUCUUCUCUUUCGAAAAUUUUUCUAAAGCAUCCCAGUCUCUCACAGUAGCCAAUGCAAACGCUUUCAGCCAGUACCAUCUCUUCUCAGAAACCUGCAAAAAGAUUAGCUUCAUAACAGAAAUCAUGAAAGAUGCAAUUACUAUAUUUGAGACUUGUUCAAGUGAAAAAAUUGUAAGAACCUUGAAUUCUGCUCUCACUCUCAUUGCAGCCCGAUGGUUUCCCAGUACAAUGCAAGUUCGAAUAGUAUCGCUGAUGCUAGAACCAACAAAUAUAGCCUGCUUUGUUGAGACUUCUAACUCAUGUUGCAACCUAUAAAAAAGAAAUGCAAGUAAAAGAUGGGAAAUGCACAAGGAAUAGUUCUAGUUAUAGCUCAAUUAACAUUGACCAUAAGGACGAUCAGUUAAGAUCAUAAGAUUUAGAUCCAUUUCAUGGAUCAUACAAUCCCUUGGAUCAUAUAAUCCAACUUGAUUAUAAAACUUACAUUAAACCUUAUGAAAUUCCAUUUUCUAUAAUUUAUUUGAUUACAUGGCUUUAUGAAUCAGUUAUUUAUUGCUAACAAACCUCAAGCACAAAAAUUAGCAAGAAGCAUUUUUCUUCUAAAAGGUAAAAGAAAAAAUUUAGGAUCUGUGGAUUUAAAAGCAAGAGGCAAAUUUUCAUAGUCUUACAAUUGUUUGUUAAAUUCAUCUACGUUACAAUUAACUCAACAGAAAGGAUCUUGCAGUCCGUGAGUCUGCCUGAUCUUACCCCUUUUAUGAUUUAUGACCCACCCGACUCUAACAACAUGGAGUAUUACAUUUUGAAAGCAUCAAGAUCAAGCUGUUUUCUUUGGAUGGUUAUCAUCCAAUGAUAAAGCACAAGAAGCAGUUUGACAAGCACAAACUUCUGACGUCUGAGAGUUCACAUUUGACACAUUCAAGUGUUGUUUGAGCUUCUUGCAAUUCUUGAAAUUAUUAAAAAUAUGAUAAAAUCUGAUAAGCACAGUGCCAAAUCUAGACAAGCAUAAACAUAUGGCAGCCAAAUACUUCAUCAACUGCACAUCUAUUUGUGUGGGCCCCAGUUGACUCUUGGCUUCAGAUCUAUCUAGACAGGCUACUAGGCUAUGUGGCGCAUAGCAACAGCGUGACGCUCUCUACCUCACAGGCCUGUCAAUCCAGCAUGCCUCCAUCUGAUAAAAAUGUAAAAGCCAAUAACUUUUCAAUAACCAAGACUGGUCUCUGUUCAUGUCCUCCAAAGACACAAUAGUUGGGAAACUCCUUCAGGCAGAGGCAGCAUACUUUAUGUAGGUCCAUCAUGUGAUAUUCAUGUCAAUAUGGUUUAAUAAUUGAAACAUCUAACAGUCAUGUGUUUGCUUCAUUCAUCCAAGUAAGAAGCAUCUUAUGAAAAGUUCUUGAAUUCCCCCUCCCGUUUUGUUUGGAACCCUUCCUCAAUGGCUGUGUCCUCACCCAAGGAUAUUGCUGGAAGGAAGCACCAUCAGUUUAUUAACAUUGCUCAUGGUAAAACUGAUGAUAAUUGUAACCCAUAAGCACUAGCAUAGACUCGUAAAAAGCUGCAGAAUACCUCCACAAGUAACUAGGACAUGACUGGAGUCAAAUAGCAACCCAAAGAACCUGAUUAGGAUAACCAUGCUAAUUUGAGCUUCUUUGAACAUGUAGGGGAAAUACCACUUUGUUUCUGGGACCAGAAAUUCCUUAAUUGAAAAGAACAGCCUAACUUUAUCCCAUCAAGAUGGGGCUGCCUAUGAAAUAGAACUCAAAUUAAGGCCUCACAAAAGAAAUGUGCAUAUCAUAUUGUCCCAACACAUUGCCUAGGAGCAAUAAUUCCAGUGUGACUAGAUGCAUCAUCUGCAGACCAGAUUGAGCCUUAGUUAAUCCUGAGAUAGGGGAGAGGAUAGAAUGGAUUAGAGAAAAUUGUUUCCAGUCCAAGAAGUGAAAUUUAACAACCUUAACAUAAAUAAACCUAAUGCAUAUCAGAAAAAGCUUUUCACUAAUCAAGAACCUAAGAACCAAGAAGUCACCGGAAUUGCAACUUCUGGAUGCACCAAGAUGUGACAGAUUGUAUCCCUGGUAUCCAGCCUUAGAAAGUUAAAUUACAUAUGGUCAACAUCUUCAGCCAUCUACAAUGCUUUGCUUGUACUCUCAAUAAAAAGGAUGCACCAGGAUGAGAAAGUUGUAAUUUGUAAAAUCAUAUCAAACAAUGUACAAAUAAAAAGAAAUAAUUACUACUAAACAGCAUGUGAAACUCCACCAAUCCCCACAUCAACUUUCUAUCUCUAGAUACCAUUACCAAACAAGAAAUUUUUGGUUGAAAGAAAAGAAAGAAUUUUCAAACAAUGUACAAAUAAAAAGAAAUAAUUAUUAAUGAACAGCACAUAAAACUCCAAUCUCCAUGGAGCAGCUUACUAUCAACUCUCUAUUAUAGCUCAAACCAUUGUCAAACAAGAUUCCUUUAGCUGAAAGAAAUGAAAGAAUUUUCAAACUAAUUCUGCAAAAGCCAAGCAAAGAUCAUUAUAGAAAGGACUUAUGGAUCUAGAUCAAAAAGUUGCUAUUCUAUUCCUUUAUACAAUUCUGAUACCCUAAACUAAAUCAUAUAAUAUAAAUCUUAAUAGAAAGUAUGAUGCAUCCUAUCUAUUUCCAGAAUGAGAAAAUCUGAUUACAGUUUUUCCUCAUUGCUCCUUACUUUUUCCUUAUAGAAAUUUGCACAAUUUUGUCAAAUGCCUACGUUUUCUCACAACUUGCCUAAACAACCACCACAGGAACACCUGAAGAAUGAUGAUGAUAGAUGGUCAUUAAAUUAGUUCCAUGGAGUUAUAUUUUGCAAUACAACUUGCAGUGCUAGUCACAUCAAGAUUGCUUUUGCUGUCUGCUUGUAUUUUGUUCAACCCUGCCUGAGGCAACAGUGUUUCAGCCUGUCAUUUAUAUACACUUGGAGAUGGUUAAGGAAUCAGGUAUUUAGCCUGUAAAAUGGUGUGAAAACCAGUCAAUCAUCCAUUUUAUUACCUCAACAAUUUUGCAUGCUCCUCAGCAGCUUUUGAUUCAAAGGUGUGUUCUUUGGUCUCAGAGAAAAGUUUCUGAGCUUGCUCAAUAAGCCUUAUGCGUGGUCCAUGGAGAGGAGAUCCUCCUUUGCUUGCCAUUGGAUUCUUUUCUAGGUCCCAUGAUUCCUUUAACAAGAGGAAAGCAACAUCCUGCAAAAACCAGUAUCUUGAUUAUAUUGAAUGAAGCAUUCUAAAAUUGAGGGGGAUAGUAGAAAGGUUGUUCAAGGUUAAGCAAAAUAACAAUUCAUGCUUGUUAUUAUAUGGAAUGACAAAAAAAAAAAAAGAUACAAGCUUUCGAAAGACAAAGAUCAUAUGGACUUAUACUUGCUCAUGCAGUUCCAAUCAAGGAAAGCUGAACCACCCUAAACCAUCCAGUUCGAAGCAUGCCGAACCGUAUAAACAGUAGAUCUGGAUGGUUCCAACCUUCAAAAAGAGACAUCGAAAAAAAACCAGAGGGAGAAGGAAAGAGAGGAAAAGAGAAAGAAGGAAGAAAAAGGAGAGGAGGAAAUGGCCUCCGAAGGGCCGGUGAGGCCGCUGCUACUGCCAAGGCGGUGGGCCUCAUCCCAAUCCAACACGAGAGAGAGAGAGAGAGAGAGAGAGAGAGGAAGGGAGAAAGGAAAAGGAGNNNNNNNNNNNNNNNNNNNNGAGAGAGAGAGAGAGAGAGAGAGAGAGAGAAGGGGAGGAAAGGAAAAGGAGAUGGAGAAAAGGCCUCUAGAGGUUGGCAGAGGGUCGCCGAGGCCAAAGGAGGCACUGCAGAGGUGGUAGGCCUCUGUUCGAUCGAAACAGAGACUUCUCCAAUAUUUUUCUUUUUUUCUGGAUUUUUCGAUGAAGUCGGCAAUGCCUGAUAAAACAAAAAUAAAAAAGAAACAUGAGCCGAAGCCCCUAUUUCGAUCGAAUGGAGGCCCACCGCCUCCGCAAUGCCUCCAGCGGCAUCUAAAAGCCGUAUCUCCCUCUUCUUUUCCUCCCUCCUCGCUCUCUCUCUCCUCUCUUUUCUUGUCCUCUCCCCCUCUCUGCUGUGUCGGAUAGAGAUGAGGCCCACCACCUUAGUAGUAGCAGCGAUGGCCUCGCCAGCCCUCCGACGGCCGUUUCCCUCUCCCUUUCCUUCCCUUUCUUCUCUCUCUUUUCCUUUCUUUCCUCCCUCUCCCCCUCUCAGCUGUGUCGGUUCGAACCCAGCAUGAAAUGGUAUGGCAGCGUACUGAACUAUAUCAUCAACCGACUAGUCCGGGAUCCGAUACUGGCACGGCAAACCUUGGUUCCAAUUAUAUAGGAAACUGAUAUUUACCUUUAGCAUUUAACAUGCAAGAUAAUAAAGUCAAUAAAAAUAGUGCUAAAUGUAUAAAAUCAUCAAAUGCUUAAAAAUAUUAAUUUUUUCCAAAUUUCAACAAGUAUUUUUGUAAACAUUGCCGAUAACAGCAGCAAACAAAUGUUAUGGACAUAUGCAUUCAAAUGUAGGAAUAUGUCAAAGCAAUAAGACAAGGAAUAUCUUAAGGAUGUAACAAGCUAAAUGCUACUUAUCAUCCUUCCAUACAAAUCACAUUGUCAAGAUAUCAAACUUUUGCCAAUUAUGAGACAAAUUUCAUAGCCAUACUUAUGUAUAGCACACAAAAAUUAUGUUUAGUAGUUUUUUAAUAAUCUAGUGGGCAAAAACAAGAACACAUUUUAAUUAUUACAAUGAAUCAAUUUGUUUACCAUAAAUGAUUAUACUGCCCAAAGAUGUUUGGCUUUUUAGCCGCAGAAACAUACUGAAUUAUUUGGUACAUUUUCUAGCAGAAGAACAGUAUGUGUGGAGACAGAACCUGUAAACAGGACCAUAAAUUCAACUCAUCUCAACUAAGCCUUAAUCUAAACAGUUGGCUUCGGCUGCAUGAAUCUAUACAGUACCAUAACCAACAACCACAAUUCCACUUACUUGGUGUUUGAAUAUAUGAUUUAUGUUUUACUUUACCUACAUGAGCAUAGUUUUGACCCAAUCAUCUCCUCUCUUGACCUCUUCAAUAAUUCAAGCCCCUUACCAUGCUCAAACCAUCCAACAUGUUAUCCACUAGCAUGCUUCAAGACAUGUACUAGAGUUUAACACUAUUGGCUCAAUUUUGCUGCACAUAACCACUCCACAUAACCCUCGGUGUUCUCAUCUCCUCAGCAUCCAUGUGGCAGGACCCUCUUUUUCACCAAUGUUCCAUGUCAUUUAAGAUACUCCCUAAAGUCUCAGAGGCUUCUUUGAUCACAAACACCUAUCAUCAUACCAGGAUCAGAUUUGCUGUGCACAUUGGUAUGUGCCACUUGGCUUGGCUUAGUCCAGGUAUGCUAUCAGAUCACCUAGAAAGAAAGCCCAGCCCCACCACCAGGGAAUGUUUGGAUGCUCAGGCAGCAAUUACCCAAGAAGUGUAAAACCAUAGAAUAGAAUGUUGCUAUUGAGAUCCCAAAAGAAAAGUUUAGUUUGAAAUUCUAUUUCAAUUGCUGUUUGGAUAAUGAUGGAAAAUUCUAUGGAAGAAAUACACAAAAUCCAACAAACUGAAAUAUAGUAGGUGUGCAUUUCUAGCUCCACUCAUUCCCCUCUAAUUUCAUGAUUUCAAUCAACAAGGUUCUCAUUAUGUUUGAAUGUUGAAUCUUCCCUAAUAAGAAUAGAAUAAACAAGUAUCAAAUUUCCAAUCUCUGGCUUCGAAGCACAAAGCCCAAGAGAGAUUGUGCCUUCAUCUUCCAAGGGCCAGGCCAGGCAUCUGACAAUCUGAAAAGAGACCGACCAAGUUUUUAAGUUUCAACCAAAAUUGAUCCGGUUCUACCAAAAUGAAUCAGUUUCAGUCAAGUUCAAUCCAAAAUCAGCCAAUUUCAGUCAGUGUUGGUGGUGUCUGACGGCUUUGGCUUAACCUAUUUUCGCUAAAACUAACUGAAAAUAUUGUUUCUUUUCUUUUUCUUAUGGUAGAAUUUAUGGAGCCUCUCUAGCCUCUCAACAUUCUGCUAAUCUAGUUAUGAUUAGACUUUAAACAAAAUAUUUUCACAAAACAUUCUUUGCAUGCAUUAAGCAUUGGAUAACUUCUAAUUUAUCUUGCUGAUUUAAUACGAGUAGAGAAUGAUAUGCUGUUUCAUGUCUAUUGAUGGACUAAUGAAUGUUGUUAUCAUAAAUUAGUAGGCAUCAACCUUGAACAAAUUAAAAUGUUACUAUGCUUCCUUGAUUAAGUGCUUGGAGUACUUGGUAGAACCAUGGUCUUAGUUUCAUAUCAUACCUGAGUGCGUUGGUGAAUGAAAUUAUUUCAUGAUAUAUCCAAAGGACAUAUCACAUAGCUUCGAAUCUUAUAACUUAUCAAUUAUGUGCUAGAUGGCAUACUCUUGUCAAUCCUAUGAUUAGGAACUAUUUUUCAUUUUGUUGACUUUGAAAUAUUCCAGUAUGGAGAGAGGUAAUAUGAAAUGGUGAAAAGGAUGGUGCUUGAUUACUCAAAAUACAAAAUUAUGAUCCAAGAUAAAAGACAAUAAGAUGAUGUGCAAUAACUAGCCUUAACUACUUUUGUUACUUUUAAUUUGUUCCCUUUAAAAAAAAAAACUUUGUUCUGAAAUUUUUUGCCCAAAACUUAGAGAGAAAUGGCCAGAAUUGUUGAAAUUGAAACUCAAUCAGAAGUACCAGAACUGAAAAUGAAGCCAAGUUCCAACACCUUGGAAAAGACCAAUAUAUGUGAUCUCUUCAUCCUAUCUAGUUUCAUCUCUCACCUUCUAUCCUUAAAAAACACUUAGUAGAUGAAAAGGGAGAGGACAAUAACAAUUUGAAUGGCAAUAGCCAGAACAUAGAUUGGACUUAGGAGCCUACUAUUGUUCCAUGGGGACCGGACAUCUUGGGGUCACCCACAGGGAGACUUGGGGGUGGAAGGGCUACUUCUAAUAAUGAGGAACCCAUGAAGGAAAGCUCCACAUGAUAAAUGUAGGAAAAGAAAAAUCGAGUUGGAGUGGAUUUUUAUUUCACAUGGAGUCAGGUUUUUUUCAUGUUUAACUUAAACUCCAUAUUGCAAUCUAAACAGCAAUUUGGGGGAAAAAACAUGAUAUGGUUGGGAUUCCCUUCGGAUGCAUGAUUCCUUGAUAAUAUAAUGGUUUUGACAUGUAUCCAGACAAGCCCUUUAUGGUUUAUUUAAACCAGAGCUUUAACAAAUAGUGUGACCUGAACGACUUUACAAAUUGAAUGGGUUAGUUAAGCAACCAUCAGAGACCAUUUCUUUCCAAGGUUUUUAUCUAAAGGUUUUACAUCCUUAGUAGUUUGGACAAAGACAUUGUAAAAGUUCAGAAAAGGGAGAGAACUAAGAAGCCCUAACUGGCUAACUCUCUCCAUGUUUGACUCCUUUCCUCUUUGAGUGCACCAACAUUACUACACCAACAACAAUCCAAAGCAUCACAUCAGCUGGUGGCUGAGGCACUCACUCCUUCAUUGUCUUGCUCCCUACUUCACCAACAUUACUACACCAACAACAAUCCAAAGCAUCACAUCUGCUGGUGGCUGAGGCACUCACUCCUUCAUUGUCUUGCUCCCUACUUGUUGGUCAUCUCCUUUACAGCUCCACCACCCACUACCUGAUUUCUCAAUGCCACCUCUCCACCACAACCUUGCUUCCGAAGUCCAAACACUAAGGUCACUCUUUCACUGUGUCUUAAAUGUCUCUGACCCCAACCUCCUGAUGCCAAUACACUGACACCACUCUCCUCUGUCACCAGGCCAUCCACCAUGCAUGUCAGUAUUUUUCAUUUUUAAUAUGUAAUUGGCCAUAGUAGUUGACCCAACAUUUGAAAUAGCAACCCUAUGACUUAGUGAGGUCUAAGGCUGAAAAUGGAUAUGGAGCUGAUACUAGUAUAUGCAUGCUUGUACGAAUAUUUUCUCCAUGAGUAUGAAAUGAUACAAAUAGUAAAUAGAUACCAAAAUUAGUAUCCAUAUUUGUUCUAAACCAAUACAGACAAGCAGAUAUUAAGCAUAUCUAUAUUUGUUCGCAAUGGAUAUAGAUACAAGUCAGCUAUUAGCUAUAACCAUCCCUUUUCUAUCCAAGACACAUACACAUCGGACAUUAUUUGGAUAUAAAUCAGAUUCUAAGUCAAAUCCAAUAAUAAAAACUAAUAUUAAUUACAUAAGCCACAUCCAGAUUGCAUGUGACACGUCACUAAGACUCUAAAUCAUAGUUAUUAAACGCGCACAGAGACCGACCCAGUCAAGAGUCCAUGUCAUUGUUCCGAUGGGAUUUGUAUUAAAAUAUUAAAAAUUUUAAAAAUAAAAUAUAUAAUAUAAAAAUAUUAAUAAUUUUUUUGCAUCAAAUACCACCAUUACUCUUUAAUUACUGUGUAAAUAAAAACUAAUCACGAAUUAUCCAUUUUUAGAGAGCUUGUAAGAAAAAUUAUAGGUAAUGUAGGAACACAUAAAAGUUAUUAAUAUUUUAAAUGUUUUUAAUAAUAAAGUUCUGCAAAUAUUAUAGAGAAUAAUAUAAGUAUAUUCAAUGCAUUUUUAUCGAAGAGAAAUGGAAUAUCAAAGAAAUAUAUAAACAUUAAUGACUUAAAUAUGAAAUAUCAGAAUAUACAUCAAGUGACCAUUUAAUGAUGUGAAUAGAUAUAAAUAGGUAAAACUACCUAUAUAAAAUAGCAACAAAUGAUUUUGCAGCUUGGUUGUUAAGCGUUUGCUAUCCAAGUGAAAGGUCACUGCUUUGAAAGGGUUAUUUUGAACUUGUCUGCCGGCUACCUGGAUCCAGAUGUAAAAAUCCUUAAAAUCAAAUUCAGAACUGGAUCCAACCAGACUGACAAGUGGAUAUUUGAAUUUAUAUCCAAAUUUGAUCAGAUACCAGAAUUUCUAACCAAAUUCAUAUCCUCUUCAUUCAUCUCCACACCCCAUUUUAUUAAAUUUAUCUUUUUCCUAUCUGUUCACAUUUAAAAAAGAAAACAAGAAGAAUCAUAUUGGUACCUCUUCACCAUUAUCUUUGAACAAUGAUUAGUUUUCACUCCAUUUCCAGCUAAAUUUCUUAAUUCUGGUUAUGCUCCUCUUUAAACUUCACCUUUUUCUAUUUCUUAUCCAAUCUAAACAGGUUCUUGUCUCAAAAAUUAACUUUAUACUAUAGCAAUAUGAGACAUUAUACAACAACGUCAUCUAAUUAUCAAGAUUCAGACCAAUCUAUGAUGCAUGCGAUGGUAGGCUCUUUAAGUUGGAUCAUUUUUUGGGCAACUGCAACCAAAAUUUGCUUGUCUCACCACAAAAAAUUUCACACUUGCCUUUGGUAGAUCAUAAACAUUCUUUAGAUCUCAAUACAUCUCUUUAAUUUCAGCAUUCAUCCAUAAGCUACCAUGUAACCCCAUGAGGCACUUCCUGAUACCUGUCACAUGCUUAACUCUAAGUUAAUAGAAAUCAUGUGCACGUUUUAUCUCUUUUCCUCUCUAAGCCUAUCCAUCAAUUGCCUAAACAAAACAAUGGCAUCAACAACUGAUCAAAUUAUUAUAAAGCCAAAUGAUUAACAAAGUAUGUUGACAAUUCCUCAGACUUGGACAAUCUCCAUCUUUAUGACAUGACCAUUGAUAAUAUCAACAUGAUAGUUGAUUCAACUCAGCAUGCUGUCUAUUUUGAUCUACAAAUACAUGAAUCACAUGGUUCCCCAAUGAUGUAGCAUACCUCAUAUGGUAUUUUGUCUAGGCAUAAUGCCUUGCUCUAUGUGCUCUUCAAUGUUUUCUACUUACGCUAAACGGUAAUAACUAAAAGUAAGACUAUAGAAAACAAUUAAACAAUAUUAUCCACAAAUAAAAAACAAUAAUGCAAUGUAACAAUUAUUUAGUCUGCUUACGGUCUAAUUUUGCAAAGGGUGAGCCUUGGUGCAACGGUAAGAUUGUUGCAUCGUGACUAGGUCACAAGUUUGGAACAUGGAAAUAGCCUCUUUGCACGAAGGGUUAAGGCUGUAUAUAUUUGACACUCCCUGGACCUCGUAAUGGUAGGAGCCUUGUGCACUGAGUCACCCAUCAAGGGUUCACCAAACUAGAUAGUUCAAGGCAUGCCGAACUAUACCAGCAGCUAAUCAGUGUGAUUCGGGUAUUCAAUUCGAAACGUUGGCGAAAAUGGAGCAAAGGAGAAGAAAAGAGAGAAAGAUAGAGGAGGGGAAGGUUGGAGGUGGCUGGCGGUGGCUCGACAAACCCACCAAAGGGCUGCCGAGGCCUCCGGGGCUCCACGAUCCUCCAUGAGAUGCGAGAAGAGAGAGAGAGAGGGAGAGGGGGAGGAAAGAGGGAGGGAAAAGCAGUGGGGAAGCCGUCGGACGGCACCAUGGGUUCGAAAUAGGGGCGAUACCCCUAUUUAAUCGUCUUUUUUAAAAAAGACGAUAAAUAGUGAAGCCAACAAACCCAUUGUUGGCUUCACUAUUUAUUGCAUUUAAAAAAAACACGAUGAAAUAGGACACUACCUCUGUUUCGAACCUACAAUGACUGUUAGGCUUUUUGAGCCAUCUAACGGCCACCGACGGCCCUCCAACAACCUCCCCAUCGCCUUCCCCUUCUUCCUCUUCCCUCUCUUCCUCUCUCUCUACUUUCAUUUUCUCUCACGGAGGACCGUGAGCCUAGGAGGCCUCGGCGGCCCUCUUCCCUCUCUUCCUCUCUCUCUACUUUCAUUUUCUCUCAUGAAGGACCGUGAGUCUAGGAGGCCUCGGCGGCCCUCCAGUGGCCACCAUCAGCAUCUCCACCGGCCUUUCUUUCCGUCCCUCCCCCCUCUCUCUUUCUCUCUUCAGUUCAUCCCUCGUUUCUAUGCCGGUUUGGACCCGAUCCAAUCCAAUAUGAGGGUGUACCGACUCGUACCACCAACCAGCCAGCACAAGGUCCUAUUCCAACUCGGCGAGCCUUGCGCCCAUCUAAUAAUUGUCAAUUAGUUAGCAGGUCACUGUUUAACAUAAAGUGGUUAUCAAGUCAAAAUGACCAAAAUAUGAAAAAGUGAUCCAGUCAAUCAAUGAUUGACAAACAUAAGUGACAACUAUGAUUAUUUUCAUUCAUAACCAAAGGGAACUAUAAUUAGCAUAAUAUAUCACAAGAUGGAUUGCUUUUAAAGUUAUGCCUACCUAAGACUAAGAUGGUUCUGCAGAUACAGAAAACAUAGUAAACAAUCAAAAUUUUUUUCCAUUGGGACCUUUCAAUAACUCAACCUACUUGAAGUCGGCCAGUUGAUAGGAAAAAGUCCUUCAAAAAUUCAUGCUUAUAGAAUCUGCAAUCAGAGAAACAACGAGUGCAUUUUCAAAAUGUUAACUUUUAAUGAUACAGUCUUUAAUCACCAAGGCGAAAGAAAAUCCAGUCCUAUAAAAAGCUUGAUGCAAUACCUUGCAUAUGUUAUAAACAAAUCUCGAGCUAAAGGUCUUGCAUUUAUUGUUCCAAAGAAAUCUAAAGCGGGCUUCUGCAAUAAAAAAGCAGCUCCACGUGAUACGAAAAUAGAAAAAUACAUAACAGUUACAUUCAUACAGUAUGUACUUUUAUUCCCAACAAAUAUACCUUCUGCCAGAUGUGGAAAAGAACAAGAUAAACAAGGUCGGUAUCACCACUUUCAGUUGCCUUAAGCAGUGCAGUAUCUUCCUCCCCAAUGCUUAGCAACAGAGGGACCUGAUAAAUCCAAGUUUUAGUUUUGCUUUCAAACGUUGUGCAAGUCGACAACUUGUGAAAAAAGAACCCAACGGUCAGGUUAUAAAUAUUCCCCCUUCCCCCCAUACAAACAUAUAAACAUGUAUGUGUAUGACAUUUAUAAUAUUUACAUGUAUUUAGGAAUAUACAUGUAUGCAUGUACAUUUAAAUUAGGCACUAGAUGAUCAUUUCACUAGUUGCAAUACUAACUAGUUUUACAUUAGAUUUCAAAUAGGCGAAGUGUGGAGAUAACCAUUGGUGCUAUUGAUAUCACCAAAAAUUUUACAUUCAUUACUAGAAUGAUGAAGAAUAACUUUCUUUGCCACUGCUACUUGCAACACUCACUACCAUAAAUCCCAUCAACUAUCCAGUUCACAGUCUUCUUGGCACAAACUCAUACAACCUCAAUGUUUCAACAUUCACUAGGCGAACAUGGAAUACAUGGUCCUUUGUAAUUUUAAGAGGGAAAAAUAUGUUAAAGAAAUUUAUUCAAACUAGUCACGUCAUGUGAAAGUACAUAAAUUGUUUACUUACAUAUACUUGAAUAUUGCAUGAAAGGACAUAGACUAUCAUAGGUGUCUUUUGGCUAAUCACCCGUAAGGCUAUCCUCAUAUAUGACAUGGCAUCAGGUUAGUUGGAAAAGAUUACAGUGUAUGUGGUUAUAUGCGGAGGUACACAAAUAGUGUUCUCAUGUAUACUUUAUGAAUAUCAUAUGAAAGAGCAUAGCCCAUAGGUGGAUGAUCACCCAAGAGACUAGCCUCAUGUAAAUAUGAGAAAAGGUUCGCAUAUUAAAGUUAGUGUGCAUGUAUAUGUAUGUGUGUGUGUGUGUGACUGUCUGUCUGUCUGUUUGUAUGUAUGUAUGUAUAUAGUUAUUUCCGUCAUUAGUUGAUUGUUCUAUUCACUGCAAAUAUAGCUCCCUAAGUUUCAAAGGCAAAUCAUGAGAUCCUCCAUUGACCUGAGUCACCUGACAAUGAUUCACCCCAUCCAAUAAAAUAACUAAUCAAGAUGCAUAAAUAUGCAUAAAAGGAAAAAUAAAGAAAAACAUGCUGCUACCACAGGCAUUAACAAUAUAUCUGUGUAAGUGCAUGCACAUAAGCAUGUCAAUGCACAUUUAUAUUAGCAUGCCUAAUAAUCAAUUUCAUGUCUUCUAAAUAUCAACCAAGGAGAACAUGAGGACAAGGUUAAAACCCAAGGUUAGAAACAUCCAACUGCUGACAUAUCCAUGGCAGCCAAUGAUAAUAGGGUAUUGGCAAAAGAAAUUUGCCAUGGACUUGGCUAUUUAUAACAAAUAUUCUUGAACAAUAAAUGAAUCAAGUGAACCUCUAGUUAUUAGAUAUGUCAAUCAGUCUAUCACAGUUCUAAAGCAGCACCACUUUCACUUUCCUCAGAAGUUUAUAAGUAUUUUGUAAAUUUGUCAUCCUUAUCAAGUGCAGUAUGUAGCAAACAAACAUACAAACAUACACAUGAACAAGAGUUUCGUAGAUUAAGGAAUUUAGCAUGCCUGUUUGGAAGAACGUGGCUCAUGAUCAACAAGCAAUGCAGCUAACUUCCGCCGCCCGGUGUUAUCUGCAUGAGCAGCAAUCGCUGCAUAAGAUAUGCCUUUGCAUAAUUUCAGCUGUAAUUCAACCAUUGAUGCUUCAGACAUUGCAAGAUUCAAGAAAAUAUAUAUAGCAAACUCCACACAUAUGGAAAUGCAGACCUUGUCAAGCAAGAUUUCAAGAAGAGCAGCAUCUUGUAUAGCUGGUGAAGCUGUUAUCUUAGAACAUGCCCAAUGCAUUAGAACCACCUCCUACAAAAGAUUUUCAAUAAAGUUAAAAUUACUUGCAAGCUUGUAUAAUAUCUAAUUAUCUAUUGCUUUUUUCCAAAUAUUUUUAACACCAGCAACGGACAUAUCCAAUAGAUAUAUACUUAUGUACACAUAAUACAAGCAAACACAGACACGCUGACACACUAACACGCACCAUAUCAAAAGGCACAUUAAGAGCUUUGGGUCUGUCAUAUCUGCCCAUACUGGAUAAUAACUAACUGUUAAUUAAAAGUUUAUAUAAUAUCAGUUAUAUCUAUCAACAAGAUUGAAACAUGGCAGUUCCUUUAGUUUAUAAGAAUCCUAUUCAAAUUUAAAGAUGGAACUACUACAACCUAAACCCCUCUCUCUGCCACACACCUUAAAAACCUCCACUCUCAUCUACAAUUUGUUUCUAUCAAAUAUUUUUUUCCAUAUUUUCCUUCUCUAGACCAAAAGUACACUGCACAUGCCUGUAGAUUAGUUUAUGUGUAUUUGAGUGAGUGAGUGAGUGAGUGAGUGAGUGAGAGUGUGUGCGUGCGUGUGUGUUUGAAGUAAAAGCCCAAUCACAACGAAUCUAUGGAUGGCUUAGCAUCUUACUUUCCAAUAAUUUUUUAUUAAGCAUAACCUCUGUCAAUGCAAGCUUCGAAAUAAAAAGAAUUUUUUCAGCAAUCAGCUGCCAGCAUUUAGAUGCCACACUAGAUUAAGUCCAUGGGUUAGAAAGCAUGUUAAUAUUCCUACAUGUUAGAAGAUUUUACGCAACAAUACAACAUGGUAGACACUGUUCAACGACCCAGUAAGCUUGCAUAUUGCCAUAUUACUGGAGUCAUGGAUAAUGUACACAAGAAAAAUUGUUAUUUUUACUGAACAUUGCUCAGAUUUCUUCUACUUGGAAUAUAAGUCUACAUGCUAUUUGACUUUUUUUAUCAGGCAACAGAAAAAUAUAUGCAAACAAACACAUAAGGAAAAGGAAAAUUACAGGGUUCAAGUUAAGGUACUCGGAGAUUCGAAGAGCCACAAGGUGGUGGUUGGCAUUAACUAAGCGCCCAAUCAGAACUGGUGCUGUAAGCACCUGCAAUAAAGAAUAUGUAUGUCAUGGUUAACACAAAACAAUGACAAAAAAAUACAUGCAAUAUAAACAACUCAAUUCUAGCAGAACAAUGAAGACCUUAUAUUGUUGAAUGCUCAGGGGUAUCCCAAUCUCGUGGUUGCGAACAGCAUUUAAUACUCGCAGUGUUUUGCACAUUUCUUGAAAGCGAUCACGGUCUUGUGGAAAAUGACUGCCAAAGCCAACUGGAUAUCAUUGCCAAGAUCACAAUCAGAAAGAAGUUGCUCUUUUAAGAUGAAACAACUAUGAGACAUUUGAUGGGUUACUGUAAACUAUGACUACAUUGGCUAUUAAAUAGUUGUUCCUCCAAAACUUGGGAUUCAUGUGGUUCAUGGGAAAAAUUUUACCUUACUGGAAUGUGUUUUCGAGGAAACUUAUGCCUGGAUACAUAUACGCAGGAAAGUGGUUUUGGCAUAUUUGGUUGACCAUGGGAAAGUAGCAUAGGAAGCACACUUUUCAGAGUGAUUUAUUUUUGGUUGAGCAUCUAUAUUCUAAGGAAAGUUGUGUAAAAUAGCUUUAUGCCCUUAAUAAAUUGACCACAAGGGAGAAAAAGGACAUAAGCCACUAAUGUUAAGGGCAUUUCUGGAGGGAAAAAAAAAGGAUUUUACCUCAGUUAUCAAGCCCAUGGGAGAAUAGGUUUCCCAUGUUCUAUGUGGGUUUCUAUUUCCCAUGGGAGGUGGGAAGCUUAUUCCCAUGGGAAGGCUACCUUCCCAUCUCUCUCUUGUUUGAAACCUCCAACCAAACAUAAGCCACUUUGUCAUUGCCCCGUUGACCACACUUCCCCCCUCCUCUUCCCAUGAACCAAACGAGUCCUUAACAUCCAACUCAAGAAACUACAGUCCUAGAUGAUCCAUGCUAACAAGGUGCCCAGAAUGUUCAGCAAGAAGUUGUGGCAUGAAGAUAUUAGUGGCACUAAUUGGUGUUUGCAUACACAAACACAAGAUUGAAGAAAUUGUGACAUACCAAUCCUAAGAAUAAAAGUAUUAUAUUAGUAACAUCAGUUAUCAUGGAACUGAACUUAUGAACCACCACACAAAGAGAGUGUGUGUGAAGAAAAAGCAAGCAAUGAUGACCCUUAAGAAAAAUGAACCAACUACUACAUGAACGUUAUUGAAAAGAGUGAAAAUUGUAGAGUGGCGAUAUCUAGCCAUGGACUUUCACAAAGAUCACGUUAUCCAUAGUCUCUCUUAAUUUUUCAAGAAAGCAUGGCCAAAGAUGUGCACUUAUCAAGGAUGCCAUGAUAUUUAGGCAGAUACGGACCAGCAAAACAAAUUAAAACAAAAAACCAACAUAGAGAUAUACUUCUGUGGUAACAUCUUAACAGAGCUCAAAAAAAAUAUAAUUAAAAAAAAACAAAACAAAACAAAACAGACGAUGCAACUAAAGGAGGAUUGUGCAAAAGAUGGGUAGGGCAUUGAAUGACCAAAGUGAAAGAUAAACUGGAGUCACUUUUUUUGGAUUUUAGAAGGACAAACAAAGAGAGGAAUAAACAAGAAAGAAACAAAUCAAUAUAAGACAGGAAAGAAAUAAAACAAAAGCAAAGGCAACCUGCUCCAUCAUGCUAAAUGCCCCACCACACUCACCUCCCCCUUUUCCCACCUUUUCUCAUCCCCCCUCUCUCAGUGCCUAUCUGCUCCUACACUUGCAAUUGUUAGAACAAGAUAAAGUCCUAAGGGCCAUAGAUCUAAUUAGGGAACAUGUUUAGUCUUCAAAGAAGUGCUCUACCAGACUUUAUGUUGAGUAAAUAAAAAACCAUUCUUCUUCCUUCUUCCUCACUCUGAUAUUUAGCAACUGAAUCGGAAAAUUUCAAAUCUGAGUGAAAGAAUUCAAAUCUAGCUUUAAAUAUAACAUUCAACUAUUCAAGGUUCUUACAGAGAUUGAGUUGACAGUCAUCCAGAUCAAGAGCAAAUAAAAACUCUUAACAUAUAAAAUUAAAAGAAGAUUGUGGGUGAAGCCAUGACACAAGGGGUCAUGACCCAUGACGUAUGCCCCUCUAAAACAACAGUUGGCCCAACAACUAGCUUUUGUACCAUUACUUCUCAAAUAUCCCUCUUACAUUCCACUGGAAAAACAAGGAUUAAUAAUAUCAUGUCCUAUUCUUAGUCCUCAACAUUAUAUAAACCAAAUGUAAAUGAAAUGGAAUUUGGAAACCAGCACAAAUCUAAAUCAGCUUUACUGAACGUAACUAAAUUGCUAACCAGCACAAACCUAAAUCAAUUUUAGGAUAUUGAUCAUACAAGAAAAUACUCUCUCUCUCUCUCUCNNNNNNNNNNNNNNNNNNNNAAUAACUACUCUCUCUCUCUCUCUCUCUCUCUCUCUCUCUCUCUCUCUCGUUCUUUCUCUAUGGCUGUUGCUCUACUUUCUAGUAUCACCUAAUAAUUUUCAUUUUUCUUGGGGUCACCAUGAGAUUGGCUUCUUGGCUCCUUCAAAUAUGUAAGCAAUUUGACAUAAAAGAUUCUGUUGCUUUAUAAUGAUGAUUUUUAUCUAAAAUGUUUGAAAGAAUUGUUGACAAUCUGUGGCUAUUGCAAAUGUAGUCAAUUUUUGUUUUUUCAGAGUUUAUCUAGCAUGCUUUGCUUUGUUGAAAGAACUGUUGAAAUCUCUGGCAAUUAUAAAAUGCAAUCAAUUUUUGUAAGGUAGUAUAAAGACCACGAGUCCUUACAUUGUAUUGGAACUUCAAGUGGUGUAACACUGUUACAUGUAAAAUAAUUCAUAUUAGCUCAGAUCUUUAACUUAUAUUAUUCUAAAUCCUAUUUCCUCUGCAUUCAACUAGAAAGCCAACAUUGCCUUUAACAUAAUACAAAUCCCUCUUGCUCAAUCUUGAUGCCUCCCCAAUCCAGACCUAUAAUUAUAGGGCAACAAAAAGAUUAUUGAUAGAAAAACAUUUUGGUUAAUAAUAAUUUUUUGAGCUGCCUGGGAGAAAAACUCUAGUCCAGCCCCUAGAGGUUGUGAAGCACUAUAAAGAUAAAAAUAUUGAGGUUGAUGUACACUGUGAUUACAAUUAUUAAAUUAUUAAUAAGUAAACUGGAUGACAAAAAAAUAUUGCACCAACAAAGAGAUCAUCAUCGAAACUUGGAUAGAGAUGGUGCAGCCCAAGGUUUUAAAUAUCAGUAUGGAGCCCCAUACUGUUUUUCCAUCGGAAUAGUAUAGCACUAGUACCUAUAGUACGAACCAAAAUUGAUUGAUUCUAAAAAUUUGAAAAACCAUCAGUGUAGAAUAGUACAGCAGGUACGGUGGUUGCCUGUACACACCAGUAUGGACUGGUAUAAACUGAUACAGCUGUACAUACCAUUACAAUUAUUUCAGCAUCACAGCACCUGUAUUAGUGCUGGUUUCACACAGAUUGUACAGUACAGGUCGCAUUCGACAGUUUUUGAAACCAUAGUGCAACUGUUGCCAUGUGUAGCAAAAAGUAGUAGAAGUCAAUGUAACAGAAGGUACAUUAUAGCGAUGCACAAAGGGUACAAAGAAGUUGAGGAUGAACAAUAUGGAAAAAUGGGUUGAAAUUGUGAAAAAAGGGUUUGAAAGGAUUGCAAUGAUAAAAGAUGAAUCUCUUGAUAGGAACUUAUUAGGAAGAUUCUGAUGGGGUAUAAUUUCCCAUAUUCAUCAGUUUCUAGGAUUAUUUCUUACAAACAGAUGAAAAUAUCAUUCUAAAGAAGCAAAAAAAAAAAAAGAUAUGGAUGAAAGCUUGGUUUCCUACAUCAAGGAAUGGUGAAUGAAUUUUAAUCUUUCUAUAUCAACAUGUUAGCAAAUGCUUUCAAAGAAUAAGUGAGGGUUUAAUAGUCAAAUAUGAGAUUUUUUUUUACGUACUUAGAAAUGUGAAUCAUGUCAUUACAAUGACAAAUAUCAAAUUGAUGAAGAUGCUGCUAGAUUUUGGUUGUGAUAUCAGAAUAAACCAAAUACAGUUCAAUAUCAAAAUAAUACAUAUAUGCACUCUAGAUCUAAAUGUGUGUGCAUUAUUGAGGAAAAGUUAAAAGACCAAAAGGAACAUCCUAAAAUUUUUUCCAUUUUAUAAUUAUUCUAUGCAUAGUACAUUUGCUACUAGAUUCAGUUCAAAAUUAUGGUAAAACAAGAAAAAACAGAAAUUGAUUUAAUGUUAAGCAAUGUGUAAAUAACAGAAAAUUGAACAGGGGAAACACAAGAGGCAUGACCAAAUUAACCUACAUGAGAUUGAUUUUAAAAAAAAAUGACAAGACCCCCAUAUUUUUUCACAUAAAAAAGGGGGUUUACAUGGUAUAAUUGAUAAAGCUUCUAUCAUAGGGCAACAUAUAUCUUCUUUUUCUAAACUAGAGAGGUAAUCCCCAAGAAAACCAACCUGCAGAAAGCCCAGCCAUAACUAGCAGCUCUCAGUAGUGUGCGUUGGCGUGAAACAUCAAAUUCAUGCCCAGCAGCAUCUAUACAAGCCUCCACUGCCUCUGGCAGAGAGGAUCGAAUCAAUCGUAGGUUUUCAUCAGCCUGCCAAUGUCAACAGAAUAAUAGGUUCAAAAAACUGUACAUGAAAAAAAUAAAUAAAAAAUAAAAAGACCAUGAAUUGGUACCAAUUUUCACUAUGAAUUAAAAGUAUGGCAUCAAUAAAAUUAGCUGGUAAAAGUUUAGUAUGAGUUCAAAGAAACAACCUAGGCAUCGAAAGCCAAAAGCAGGUUGCUCAAGGUCAUCCCCAGUCAUUUAGCUGUUGUCUUAGAUUCGAAGAACAAGCAGGUGCAGGUGUUAGUUAAGUUUAUUGGUACUGGAAUUAAGCACAUAAGAUGCACAUGAUGGGGAAUAUGCAAGGCUAUUUGGCUAUGUUGGGCUUGUGCCACCUGAAGCAACUUUUUUUUGGUUUGAGAUUUUUUACAGACUCUUGACUGGCCCCUGUUAUCCAUAUUUCAUUCCGAUAGUCAUGUGGGAUCACCUGUGAGUAUGCCAAAUGCCCAACAGUUGUUUAAAAUAUAGAUUGCAGUGACUAAUGCUAUGAUUCAUCGGAAUAAAUAAUGGUUUAUUUGACUAAUAAGCCAACCCAUAGUUCACAGGUUGUUCAUUUAGGACUGCAAAUCAGAGCAUUCACACCUGUUCACCAGGGCAGGAUUAAAACAUGUGUCAAUUAGUUAUAUAUUUCUUAUUUUCUGAAUAUGGGUCAAAGACGAAAUAAGACAUGCAUGACUAAGUCGUUGAGAUUAAUAAAAGAAAAGGAAUCUGGAUAAAAUUGGAGAAGGUUGAUCGAGAUUUUAUAGAAGCUCUUUAACAAACCUUUUCUAAUUUCCAAAACACAUUUCAGUUUUUCUUAUCAAUUGUUUACUGUGGCUAUUUUGUAUGAUCUAUUCCAUGAUCCAGGUUAAAGUGCAUUAACUAGAGAGGAUCAAUAUGCUGUCUCAGAGUUUGAUGUAACUUGCAACUCAUAUCAUUAUAUGUUGUGAUGAGAUGAUCCAUAUGAAACAGCAGUAAAUUUCCUCAACAAAUUAAUAUAGUAUCAGUUCUCAUAUUCUAGAGUUUAAAGCGAACCUUUCUCUAACUACUUUUUCUUUAUUCCUCUUCUUCCAAGCCCGUAUAAAUCUAGCAAACCUAAAAGCAGGUCUUCCCAUGAAUAACCCUAUAAAGAUGUCUAGAGAAAAAGUAGACUCAUUCUCUUUCUAGAAACAAAAAUGUGACAAAAUGGCUUCACAUUACCUUUAUAAUUGAAACUAUGUAGCAAUAAAGGCUUCUAUUUCCUACUCAACACCAGUUAGACACAUGUCAAUACAAUGGAUAAGUCAUCAAUAAUCCAUAUGUGUUUCUAGAGCUGGGGAAAAAAAUCUCCAAGAUAGAUAUAUGCAUACAUAAAGACAUGCAUAUUACAUAGAUACAUUUCUAUAUACACAUGUAAUAUAUACUAUAUAUUAUGUAUCAUAAAUUAUACAUCACAUAGUAUAUACUAUGGUAACUAUACAUCUACAUUAUAGAUUAUAUGCACAUUACACAUAUAUAUAUCGAUAUAUAUGUAUACAUAUAUAUGUACACACAUAUAUAUACAUACAUACAUAUAUAUGUAUACAUAUAUAUAUAUACAUACAUACAUACAUAUACAUACAUAUAUAUAUAUAGAUACAUACAUACAUACAUAUACCUACAUAUAUGUGUGUGUGUGUGUGUGUACACACAUACAUAUAUAUGUAUGUAUAUGUAUAUAUAUACAUAUGUAUACACGUACACGUACCCAUACACGUGUACACGUAUAUGUAUGUAUGUAUGUAUAUGUAUGUCUGUGUGUGUGUGUGUGUGUAUGUAUGUAUAUAUAUAUGUAUAUAUAUGAAUGUAUGUAUGUAUGUAUGUAUAUAUACAUGUAUAUAUGUAUAUGUAUAUGUAGGUGUGUAUAUAUGUAUAUUUAUAUGUAUAUGUAUAUGUAGAUGUGUGUGUGUGUGUGUGUGUGUGUAGUUAGUUAGUUAGUUAGUGUUGGUGUGUGUGUGUGUGUGUGUGUGUGUUGAGUAAUAACAAAUCUCAUCACAUGCUGAUAUAAAACCAUUGUGCAGCUAUCACGAUUUGUAGCAGCACAUCCUGCAUAAGGAUCAUUAGAAUUGGAAGAGUUCAUGUAAAAUAGAAUGUAGCCUUCAGAUUUCUCUAGCCCAUAAGACAACAUUAUGCACGUGUAUUCUUACCACUGAGAAAUAGAAAGGUUGCAGGAUCUAUCAAUAACUCCUUAAAGAAAGAAAGAUAAGGUUUUUCCAAUUCAAAAUAGUAGAAAGAGUUAACUUCAGUUACACUCAUCCUCUUUAAGUCCUUGAAGACUUGAAUCAACC
rnacentral:lncRNA from 1 species